rnacentral:rRNA from 1 species
UACGGCGGGGGCUAGCGUGGUUCGGAAUUACUGGGCGUAAAGCGCGCUUAGGCGGACUUUCAAGUCAGGGGUGAAAUCCCGAGGCUCAACCUCGGAACUGCCUUUGAUACUGUAAGUCUUGAGUCCGAGAGAGGUGAGUGGAAUUCCUAGUGUAGAGGUGAAAUUCGUGGAUAUUAGGAAGAACACCAGUGGCGAAGGCGGCUCACUGGCUCGGUACUGACGGUGAGGCGCGAAAGCGUGGGGAGCAAACAGG